ensembl:snRNA U1 U1 spliceosomal RNA
AUACUUACCUGGCAGGGGAGAUACCAUGAUCACGAAGGUGGUUUUCCCAGGGCGAGGCUUAUCCAUUGCACUCCGGAUGUGCUGACCCCUGCGAUUUCCCCAAAUGUGGGAAACUCGACUGCAUAAUUUGUGGUAGUGGGGGACUGCGUUCGCACUCUCCCCUG